rnacentral:rRNA from 1 species
UACGAAGGGGGCUAGCGUUGCUCGGAAUCACUGGGCGUAAAGGGCGCGUAGGCGGCCAUUCAAGUCAGAGGUGAAAGCCCAAGGCUCAACCUUGGAACUGCCUUUGAUACUGUUUGGCUUGAGACCGGUAGAGGUAAGUGGAACUGCGAGUGUAGAGGUGAAAUUCGUAGAUAUUCGCAAGAACACCAGUGGCGAAGGCGGCUUACUGGUCCGGUUCUGACGCUGAGGCGCGAAAGCGUGGGGAGCAAACAGG